rnacentral:rRNA from 1 species
AGGGGGCUAGCGUUGCUCGGAAUCACUGGGCGUAAAGCGCACGUAGGCGGCUUGUUAAGUCAGGGGUGAAAUCCUGGAGCUCAACUCCAGAACUGCCUUUGAUACUGGCGAGCUUGAGUUCGGGAGAGGUGAGUGGAACUGCGAGUGUAGAGGUGAAAUUCGUAGAUAUUCGCAAGAACACCAGUGGCGAAGGCGGCUCACUGGCCCGAUACUGACGCUGAGGUGCGAAAGCGUGGGGAGCAAACAGG